rnacentral:rRNA from 1 species
UACGUAGGGACCAAGCGUUGUUCGGAUUUACUGGGCGUAAAGGGCGCGUAGGCGGCGUGUCAAGUCAAUUGUGAAAUCUCCGAGCUUAACUCGGAACUGCCAAUUGAUACUGAUGUGCUAGAGUGCAGAAAGGGCAAUCGGAAUUCUUGGUGUAGCGGUGAAAUGCGUAGAUAUCAAGAGGAACACCUGAGGCGAAGGCGGGUUGCUAGGCUGACACUGACGCUGAGGCGCGAAAGCUAGGGUAGCAAACGGGAUUAGAAACCCCCGUAGUCC